rnacentral:rRNA from 1 species
AUACGUAGGGGGCAAGCGUUAUCCGGAUUUACUGGGUGUAAAGGGAGCGUAGACGGCGAGACAAGUCUGAAGUGAAAGCCCGGGGCUCAACCCCGGGACUGCUUUGGAAACUGCCUUGCUAGAGUGCUGGAGAGGUAAGUGGAAUUCCUAGUGUAGCGGUGAAAUGCGUAGAUAUUAGGAGGAACACCAGUGGCGAAGGCGGCUUACUGGACAGUAACUGACGUUGAGGCUCGAAAGCGUGGGGAGC